rnacentral:rRNA from 1 species
AUUGAACGCUGGCGGCAUGCCUUACACAUGCAAGUCGAACGGCAGCACGGGUGCUUGCACCUGGUGGCGAGUGGCGAACGGGUGAGUAAUACAUCGGAACAUGUCCUGUAGUGGGGGAUAGCCCGGCGAAAGCCGGAUUAAUACCGCAUACGAUCUACGGAUGAAAGCGGGGGACCUUCGGGCCUCGCGCUAUAGGGUUGGCCGAUGGCUGAUUAGCUAGUUGGUGGGGUAAAGGCCUACCAAGGCGACGAUCAGUAGCUGGUCUGAGAGGACGACCAGCCACACUGGGACUGAGACACGGCCCAGACUCCUACGGGGGGCAGCAGUGGGGAAUUUUGGACAAAGGGCGAAAGCCUGAUCCAGCAAUGCCGCGUGUGUGAAGAAGGCCUUCGGGUUGUAAAGCACUUUUGUCCGGAAAGAAAUCCUUGGCCCUAAUACGGUCGGGGGAUGACGGUACCGGAAGAAUAAGCACCGGCUAACUACGUG